UACCUGACUGCUAUCGGAUUGAUACUAAGCCAUGUGAGUCAUUGUAGCAAUACAAGGCAUACAGCUCAGUAACACGUAGUCAAUCUGCCCUAUGGACGUGGAUAACCUCGGGAAACUGAGAAUAAUCCGCGAUAGAUCAUAAUGCCUGGAACGGUUUAUGGUCCAAAUGAUUCGUCGCCAUAGGAUGGGACUGCGGCCUAUCAGCUUGUUGGUGAGGUAAUGGCCCACCAAGGCUAUUACAGGUACGGGCUCUGAGAGGAGAAGCCCGGAGAUGGGUACUGAGACACGGACCCAGGCCCUAUGGGGCGCAGCAGGCGAGAAACCUUUGCAAUGUGCGCAAGCACGACAAGGUUAAUCCGAGUGUUUCCUGCUAAAGGAAUCUUUUGUUAGUUCUAAAACCACUGAUGAAUAAGGGGUGGGCAAGUUCUGGUGUCAGCCGCCGCGGUAAAACCAGCACCUCAAGUGGUCAGGAGGAUUAUUGGGCCUAAAGCAUCCGUAGCCGGUUCUGUAAGUUUCCGGUUAAAUCCACUAGCUCAACUAAUGGGCUGCCGGAAAUACUGCAGAACUAGGGAGUGGGAGAGGUAGACGGUACUCGGGAGGAAAGGGUAAAAUCCUUUGAUCUCUUGAUGACCACCUGUGGCGAAGGCGGUCUACCAGAACACGUUCGACGGUGAGGGAUGAAAGCUGGGGGAGCAAACCGGAUUAGAUACCCGGGUAGUCCCAGCUGUAAACGAUGCAGACUCGGUGAUGCACUGGCUUUUGGCCAGUGCAGUGCCGCAGGGAAGCCGUUAAGUUUGCCGCCUGGGAAGUACGUACGCAAGUAUGAAACUUAAAGGAAUUGGCGGGGGAGCACCACAAGGGGUGAAGCCUGCGGUUCAAUUGGAUUCAACGCC
rnacentral:rRNA from 1 species